GAAUGCCGUAUGAGGUGAAAGUCUCAUGUACGGUGUGAAGUGGGGGAAAAGGUGGAGAUGAAUUCAAAACCUUACCUAUCACUAU
rfam:Halobacillus karajensis, HD-03, WGS project CCDI01000000 data, contig: 000002